CACGUAGGCACCAAGCGUUGUCCGGAUUUAUUGGGCGUAAAGAGCUCGUAGGCGGUUCGGUAAGUCGGGUGUGAAAACUCUGGGCUCAACCCAGAGCCGCCACCCGAUACUGCUGUGACUCGAGUGCGGUAGGGGAGCGGGGAAUUCCUGGUGUAGCGGUGAAAUGCGCAGAUAUCAGGAGGAACACCAGUGGCGAAGGCGCCGCUCUGGGCCGUGACUGACGCUGAGGGAAGCGAAAGGCGUGGGGAGCAAACAGG
rnacentral:rRNA from 1 species